rnacentral:lncRNA from 1 species
AACGCAGCUAACAGACACUGAAUAAACCAGCCCAUCCCCGGCGGGAUCAGGAGUUGCUUGCCCCAUAUGCUGUCCCCAGGCUGCAGCCGCCUGAGGGGACUCGCCCGGGGCCCGCCCUCAGAGCUCACACCCGCCGUGCGCUCUCGCCCCGGGGCCGCCCCGCCGAUCCUCCCCCGCGGCUCUGCGCGCACAGGCCGGACGCUCGGAGCCGGCGCCGGACCCCCCUGCUCGGCCUCCUGGGCGCACCAGCGGCCUCCGCGCAGGCUCCGUGCCCGCGCACGCGCCCUCGCGUCGCGCUCCUGGAGGAGAGACCUGCGCUCGGGCCGGGCUCCGGGCGGUUCUCGAGCUGCAGUUCCAACGGGACUUCCGCGGCCUUUUGGACGAGCCGCCGCGCCCAGAGAUGUUCAGGUUGGAGCGACACUUCCCAGAGGGCAGCGGUCACUCCAGAUCUUCGGCUUCCAUUUCCGUUUUCGCGCGGUUCUCCCUCUUUGCAGGGCCAUGAGCUCUAGAUUCUCUUUGUUCUUUCCCAGUAGAGGAAUCCCAAGGAGGACUGAUCUGUUUUGGCAGGUGCAAAACCAUGGAGUGAAAUCAUACAGUAUUUCUUUCUCCGUCUGACUGUUUUUGCUCAAGAUCCAUCCAUCUUGUCUCACAUGGGAUGAGUUUGUCUGUUUUUAUGGG